rnacentral:rRNA from 1 species
ACGGGAGGCAGCAGUGGGGAAUAUUGCACAAUGGGCGCAAGCCUGAUGCAGCCAUGCCGCGUGUGUGAAGAAGGCCUUCGGGUUGUAAAGCACUUUCAGUCGUGAGGAAGGUAGUGUAGUUAAUAGCUGCAUUAUUUGACGUUAGCGACAGAAGAAGCACCGGCUAACUCCGUGCCAGCAGCCGCGGUAAUACGGAGGGUGCGAGCGUUAAUCGGAAUUACUGGGCGUAAAGCGCAUGCAGGUGGUUUGUUAAGUCAGAUGUGAAAGCCCCGGGGCUCAACCUCGGAAUAGCAUUUGAAACUGGCAGACUAGAGUACUGUAGAGGGGGGUAGAAUUUCAGGUGUAGCGGUGAAAUGCGUAGAGAUCUGAAGGAAUACCGGUGGCGAAGGCGGCCCCCUGGACAGAUACUGACACUCAGAUGCGAAAGCGUGGGGAGCAAACAGGAUUAGAUACCCUGGUAGUCCACGCCGUAAACGAUGUCUACUUGGAGGUUGUGGCCUUGAGCCGUGGCUUUCGGAGCUAACGCGUUAAGUAGACCGCCUGGGGAGUACGGUCGCAAGAUUAAAACUCAAAUGAAUUGACGGGGGCCCGCACAAGCGGUGGAGCAUGUGGUUUAAUUCGAUGCAACGCGAAGAACCUUACCUACUCUUGACAUCCAGAGAACUUUCCAGAGAUGGAUUGGUGCCUUCGGGAACUCUGAGACAGGUGCUGCAUGGCUGUCGUCAGCUCGUGUUGUGAAAUGUUGGGUUAAGUCCCGCAACGAGCGCAACCCUUAUCCUUGUUUGCCAGCGAGUAAUGUCGGGAACUCCAGGGAGACUGCCGGUGAUAAACCGGAGGAAGGUGGGGACGACGUCAAGUCAUCAUGGCCCUUACGAGUAGGGCUACACACGUGCUACAAUGGCGCAUACAGAGGGCGGCCAACUUGCGAGAGUGAGCGAAUCCCAAAAAGUGCGUCGUAGUCCGGAUUGGAGUCUGCAACUCGACUCCAUGAAGUCGGAAUCGCUAGUAAUCGUGGAUCAGAAUGCCACGGUGAAUACGUUCCCGGGCCUUGUACACACCGCCCGUCACACCAUGGGAGUG